rnacentral:misc_RNA from 1 species
GAUGAAGAACGUAGCGAAAUGCGAUAAGUAGUGUGAAUUGCAGAAUUCCGUGAAUCAUCGAAUCUUUGAACGCACAUUGCGCCUUCUGGUAUUCCGGAAGGCAUGCCUGUUCGAGAGUCAUUAACAACCGUUUCGAUCCCUUUCUUUCAGAAAUUACAAAGAGGAAAAGGGUUUGGUUAUGGUGGAGGAGGGAAAGGGAGCGUUUAGCCUGUAAAAAAAGAGGCUGUGUUCCGCCUCCCCCCCGAAAUUGUACAGGCGGUCGUGUGCGCCCACGCAUCGAGGUGUUGUAAAAGCUGCCACGGCACUUUUCACGUGUGCAGUGCGAGAUUGGCCAGCCGGUUUAAAAACCCCUCCAAACAAUCAAUGGUUGACCUCGGAUCAGGUAGGGAUACCCGCUGAACUUAAGCAUAUCAAUAAGCGGAGGA